rnacentral:rRNA from 1 species
UACGUAGGUGGCAAGCGUUGUCCGGAAUUAUUGGGCGUAAAGCGCGCGCAGGUGGUUCUUUAAGUCUGAUGUGAAAGCCCACGGCUCAACCGUGGAGGGUCAUUGGAAACUGGGGAACUUGAGUGCAGAAGAGGAUCGCGGAAUUCCCGGUGUAGAGGUGAAAUUCGUAGAUAUCGGGAGGAACACCAGUGGCGAAGGCGGCGAUCUGGGAAGAUACUGACGCUGAGGCGCGAAAGUGUGGGGAGCGAACAGG